rnacentral:rRNA from 1 species
UACGUUCCCGGGUCUUGUACACACCGCCCGUCACACCACGGGAGUUUACAACACCCAAAGUCGGUGAGGUAACCGCAAGGAGCCAGCCGCCUAAGGUGGGGUAGAUAACUGGGGUG